ACUGCAGACACUCGAAGUCUGCAGCGAACACGGGAGUUGCUGUAAAAUCACAAAUCCCGACGGACAUAGUUACGGGCCCGUUGCACGACCGUGGCGAACAGAUUCUCGAACCGGGGCUCGAACGUCUCUCGAGCAUCGUCCCCCGCGUCCGUCGAAAUCGCGAUCCGACGGCUACCAGCGUCUCGUAACCGGCUGCUGACAUUUCCGUGGAUUAAUUGUGUCCCGGGUUGGCGAGCAAAUUCUUGGAACCCGAGUGGUCCGGGAGUGAGUGAGUGAACGAAAGUUCGAGGCGUCUCUUGGGAAUCGUAGCCUGUCCGAGGAAAGUGAUAAGCCAAGUGUUACGCGAUGCUGUGAUAACGGACGAUAAAGUGUAGACGUUCCAGGCUGUAGACGACCAACUUAGGGGGAAACCAUUCUCCGUUUCUCGAUCACGAAUCGAACCAGACCGGGACGCUGGAGUUUUGGGAAGAUUCGAUGACCUGAUCGCUACGACCACGCGGAACGACAUCGAGGUCCAUUCACCGCGAAAUGACAGAACGUGAGCCCCGCGAUCACUGCGUCGACCACACCGAAUUGUCGAGCGCGUACACGAUUUUUGGCUUCGAUUCGAGCCCGUGGCGCACGAUCGACGACCGUCCGUCAGAAUGAGCCUAAUGAAGAAGGCCAUCGGCGGCUCCAUUCACAGGAUACGAGAGUUCGAGCUAGAAAAGGUGAAUCUGAUCGACGAGUUCGAUAUCCUGCAAAUAGUCGGCGAAGGAUGGUUCGGCAAGAUCCUGUUGACCGAGCACCGCAGCACACAGACGGAGAUGGUGCUCAAAGCUCUGCCAAAGGCGUACACCGGCAUCACGGAUUUCUUCCGCGAGUUUCACUAUGGUCUUCACCUGGCCGCGCACAAGAACAUCAUCACCACCUACGACGUGGCCUUCGAGACCGCUGGAUUCUACGUCUUCAGCCAGGAGUACGCGCCAUUAGGAGACCUAACGUCCAACGUGACGGAGACUGGCCUCGGCGAGCUGCACGCGAAGAGGGUGGCCAGACAGCUGGCUGCAGCGGUACAUCAUAUCCACAGCCGCGAGCUGGUGCACCGCGACAUCAAGCUGGACAACAUACUCGUGUUCCGCAGCGACUUCUCGCGGAUCAAGCUAUGCGACUUCGGCGAGACCAGGCGGGUCAACACCGUGGUCAGGCGACACAACGAGUGGCUGCCAUACUCGCCGCCCGAGGUAUUGCAGAUCGACACUGACGAGACGUACAAAGCUCUCGCGUCGCACGAUGUCUGGCAAUUCGGCAUUGUCCUAUUUGUCUGUCUGACCGGAUGCUUGCCGUGGCAGAAGGCGGCGUUGGACGACCCGCGGUACACCAGAUAUCAAAACUGGCACAACGCGACGCUCAACAUAGCCAAGAAGCCGAAAUUAUUUCAGCUGAUCAGCUCGCGGGCGCAGAGAAUGUUCAAACGGCUGUUGGACCCUAAGGCGGAAAAGAGGCCCGUCAGCGUCUUGGAAGCGAACAAAUACCUCGAGGACAGGUGGUUGGCCAAGCUCGGGGCGGAGAAGGCCAUGAACGGUGGCGCCGACGAGAGGGACGAGCUCUGCCCCUCGAUGUACAGCUUCCACAGCUCCGUCGAGGAGAAGAAUCAGCUUCUUCACACCCUGACCACGUACGGGAUCGAGACGACGGUCGACAGAGCGAAGAAGAAGGAUCGUAUCAGGGAGUGGAUUCAGGCGAGCGCGAUCGUCGAGGAGUACGAAGAGGAGGAAUCCGAUCUCAACGAAGAGAUCCACUUUUACGAGGACGAGGACGAGGAGCCGUCCACGAUGAAGGGCAGACACUUCCCGGAGACCAGACCGAUCGUCAAGCAACCCGACGAAACCAAACGACACAAACACCACCGAUCGAACAACGUGUCUACGGCUACCAGGAGGAGGCAGUCGGUCAAACCCACCGAGAGGAAGAUUCCGUUCGCGCCUCAGGUCGCCGAGGAACGCGAGACCGUCGCUCGAUUCGCGAGCUUCCCCAACGGCGAUCCCAGCCUGGCGAUCUCCAACGGGACCAACGGCAGUUUGAUGGUCGGCCCCAUCGCGGAGGAGACCAGAUCGAUCGGUAAAAACGGCCAGACGGUCAAUAGUUCACCGGUGAACGGUCUGAACGGUUCUCGAGACGUCGUCGCCGCCGCGUUACCCACGACCAGCGGCUUCAAUCCUAAUUUACCCGAGGAAACUACCAGGAACUCCGAUCCCCAAGAUCGAGCCGUCCCGCAGGGGGGCGUAGGGGCAGAUCGAAGUUUGCCCAGGAGCCCGCUGAUCCCGGCGAGAAAGCAUCGCUCGCAGACCGCCCCGUUUCCGGCCCCGACGUCACCCGUCCUGAACGGAAGUCGCGCGGACUCGACCAAGAGGAGCCUGUCGGCCGCGACGCUGCCGACCACGCAGACGGACAGGUCGUUCCCGGUACCGCCGAUUCAAGCCAACGGCCAAUCGACGCCCGCGAGGGUCGAGAAUCGAUCCGCGGCGCAAUCAAUGUCUCGAGUAGAGAAUCAAUCCGUUGUAAUGCUGCCUGCGGCCGCGGCGGUGGCAGCUCGAGUGGAGAAUCAAUCGAGUAACACGCCGACGGUCGCCCGAAACGAGAAAUCAGCUGGUCCAGCCGGUGGUCCGGGCCCACUGGCGCCAAUCAAUCCGCUCACGAUGUCGGUGGCCUCGCAUUUGGUCAUGCAGAGCUUCAACGCUCUUCAGAAUCUCAACCCCGAUCAGAAUGCCGCGACCAAGAACAGUCCUACGUCCACCCCUGUCAAAGUUACACCGAAGAACAGCCCCACCGUGACCCCUACGAGAACCACCACCACCCCUCCCAGGCCCAGAAUCGCCAACCGGAGCGAAGAGACGACGCUUGGAUACGGCAAGGAUCCUUUCGAGCACUACGGUAUCGCACAGGGUGUCGUUAUGAAGAUCGAACGCGUCCGACGGGGGUCGAUGGAGAGUCCCAGCAGGUCUGUCAGCAACUGAGGAUCGUCGCGGGGCUGGGGUCGACGUCUAGAAAACGUGAGAACGCGUGUACAACGCUGUUCUCUGAAGCGAUACGACGUGGGAUGUCUUCUGGUUGGGUGAGGAGUUUGGAAGAGUCGUGGACAUCGUCCUGGUAUGACGGAAUGUCGGGUGGAGGUGGUUAAAUGUUGAUGACGUUAACAAAUAUGAUGGCUUUGCUCGGUAAUACAACUCUAGCAGGACCUGUCGAGCACUUGUGAGAGAGUUAAGAGCAUAGCCCUCUAGUGGCGAGCGUGGGAGGUGACGCCACAGGCCUUUGACGAAGACUCUGACUAUAAUUGAAUACCGAUAACAUAUCUCGAAGAAAAAUUGCUAGGCAAGGAAAGUACGAACAUUAUCAACAACUCGAGCCUGCUUAUAAAUAAAUUGAUAAACCUCCUGCUACAAUACAAGUAUGAUUUUGUACUGCGUAUUGGGACAGUUGAACGAUUUGUUCCAUAUAGAAUGCCAAACGAAAAUAAUUUCGUUUCACGAAUCGACGUGCAAAAUACACCGUCUCUAAGACAAAUUGCACGAGGCUGCAUCGCACGGUUUAAAAGAGGAAAGCAGGAAGAUCGCUUGCGUCAAAGUAAUUCGAAAGAUGCAAAGUUGUAAACGAUGUUACGUAACCGGACGAAGGAUCUAUACGAAUACGAGCGACGUUCAAGCUCGUUCGACUUUCUACAAAGUUUGUAUUAAACGGUAUGACACAACUGUACCGUUUAAGAUCAUCCGAUCGUUGGACGCGAGCCACGUCGAGGUCGGCUAUAGCGAUCCAUUUGUUCCUUCGUGCCGAUUCUUACAUUGUGUAGGUGGUACGUAGAACACGCUCCGCUGAAUAAUUUAUGAAUUAUAGCUGCUUUUAUUGCCGAUGACAGGGUGUCGACGAAUCGCUCGGAAAAAGGACAGCAAGGAACCAUUUGCAUAUCCUGAUGGUCGAUCAGUCAGCGACAAACGGAUAGAAUUUGGCACGAACGCGCGGAAAACGUCUACGUCCACGUUUCUCCGCGAUGUCUUUGUCGGUCCUCUCGAUCGCGAAGGACGAUCCUCAAUCCCGAUUCCUCGGGACUCGAGCGACCCGGCGGACGAUUUAAUUGACCGAUCGCCAUAACCGAUUAUAGCGUUCGUAGGACGGUAUUAGCGUAAUUGAAAUGUAAAUAUUACAUUGCACACCGUGAGAGGUUCCCGUUUCUCCCGAGUAGUUCAAGGUGUGGCCAACGGAAUGUGACCGUGGAUUAAAUUAAUUGUGAUACCAGAAGAUCCCUAGAACCAUUUUACGAUUCCCGAUCUUCUCGCGUCCGAUCGUCGAACGUCGCUUUGUAUACGUUACGAAGCUGUUGUAUACUUGUAAUUUUGUACCGUUGUUUGCGUCAGAGUCGGGCAAAUUGUAUUCACGAAUAUCGAAGAAAAAUCCAAAAAAUUGCUCGCAAACAUUUCAUGUUAUUAUUCGCGAUAAACGCACAGAGCAAACAAUGAUAACCUUUCGAAAAUUUGUGUUUGUUGUUCGUGAACAGAAUGUAAUCAACGGGAAAAUUGAACGUCGGGAAAUAAUAUGAAAGACAGCGUGAUCUCGUGCUUGUUUGUUUGCAAAUUCAUAUUUAUAGAUCGGUCUAAAUAAGCUUCAACCAUCGAGGAGAACCCCGCCGCGUCGGAAGCGUUAUCGAAGCUGGUAUAAACUAGUCUAUAAAUAUAAAUAAUAAAAAAGAGUUCGCGUAAGCAUCUAAUCUUAUAUUCGAAAUGCAAAUAGUUUCUAUAAAUAAGCAACGACUAAUUAUCAGUAUGAAACAAGCUAUUUUUAUUAACGUUUUGACUCAUGCGUUUUGGGUCGCCUAUAGAAUAAACGUAAUUAUGUAACGUGUAAAAUAUAGGAUUAAAUUGUAAGUAUUUAAGAGAAAUAUUAGAAAUUAGAAUAAC